UCUAAAAAAUAAAUCAAGUUAAAUAAUAUGAUCAUAUAUUCAAUGUCACAUUCCCCAAACCAAAAUGACAAACCUGCGAAAAUUGAAAUGACAUUGAGAGGACGUCAAACGCAUCCAACCACAUGGCCAACAAGUAAACAUUCCAAUUUAUAUUUUAUUUAACAAAUAGUUAUUGCGACACAAUGGCCCUUUCUACAAGCAGGACUUUGACUUUGGCUGAGUGUUCUACACUCUUGAAAAUCUUGAAAUUCACGCCGUGUCGAAAGAAGAUAUUACACUUAAAGGAGGUGUAGUCCAAAUUCAUCGUGUACUUCUAAACGUGUGGCGUGACUCGAGAGGCCGGGUAAGGGAAUUGACGAUUGGAGUAUCUGAUCUGUAUGACAAGGAGCAAGCCGCAGUAAAUGCUAUAAAGACGGCCUUCAAAAGAAAAAAGAAAAAACUGUCCAUCGGGAAUAAUGGAUGUUCUUAUAUCGACAAAUUCAAGGGAAAAUUGACAUGCU